rnacentral:rRNA from 1 species
UAUUUUAAUUCUAGAUAAGAGUUAUAAAUAUUUUUUUUGUGCAUGGAAAAAAAAAUAAAUUAAAUUUCCCCAGUACAAAUAAUUUUUAAUUUUUAAUAAAAGUAAAAGAAAAAAUAAAUAACCGAUUAAUUUAAGUGCCAGCAAUCGCGGUCAUACUUAAAGUUUAAAUAACUUAUCGGGAAUUGUAGUUAUUUAAAAUGAACAAGAACUAAAAAUAAAAAAAAUUAGGUUAAAUUUUAUUUUAAAAAAGUUCAUUAUAUUUAAGAAUCUAUAAAAAGCUUUAAAAAAAGAGGAUUUGAUACCCUCGUAUAUUGCUCAAAAAAGAUACCCAGAGUAAAAGUAGAAACCUAUAAACUCAAAGAAAAUGGCAGUAAAAUAAAAUUUUAGGGAUACUUGAUACUUUAAAUUAUGAUAACCCACAAAGACCUUACUUUUGAAAUAAAAAGUUUCUAUAUCUCCGUUUUAAGAAAAUAACAAUAGUUAACAUAAUCUUAAUCUUAAAAUAGAAAAAUUCAGGUCAAGACAGAACUUUAAAAGAAGUAUUGAGUAUCAUUAUAAAAAAAGGAAUGCCGAUCUCGUUUAAAAAUAAAUCUAAAGAGAACUUAAAAGUAAUUUAUUUAAUAAAAAAUAAAUGAAUAUUUUUUAUUUUAGGUACAAAUCGCCCGUCACUCUCGAAUAAAGUUGAGAUAAGUCGAAACAUAGUAAAUGUACUGGAAA